rnacentral:misc_RNA from 1 species
GAUGAAGAACGUAGCGAAAUGCGAUAAGUAAUGUGAAUUGCAGAAUUCAGUGAAUCAUCGAAUCUUUGAACGCACAUUGCGCCCCCCAGUAUUCUGGCGGGCAUGCCUGUUCGAGCGUCAUUUCAACCAUCAAGCCCUGCUUGUGUUGGGGUCCUGCGGCUGCCCGCAGGCCCUGAAAACCAGUGGCGGGCUCGCUAGUCACACCGAGCGCAGUAGCACAUCUCGCUCAGGGCGUGCGNNGGGCUCCAGCCGUUAAAGCACCCACCUUUCGCAAGGUUGACCUCGGAUCAGGUAGGAAUACCCGCUGAACUUAAGCAUAUCAAUAAGCGGAGGA